AUCCGUUGGUGGCAAAACUUCCCAUUCAGGGCGGUUGAAUCACGCACAUAAGUAUCGAUACGAAAGUGCAAAAACCCGCUCUAAAAAGCGGGUUUUUUUAU
rnacentral:sRNA from 3 species